rnacentral:lncRNA from 1 species
CUUGGUUCUGGCGUUCAUAUAAAUAAAAGAGACAAACAUGUAUGAUUUACAACUCUAGAUUAACCAACCCAACUGAUUCAACAUGUUUAGUCCUUUAAUCCUUGUUCUUAGUACUACCUCCAUGAUCCCACACUCCUAAUCAUAUGAGCUAAAAUGUUACACAUUCAAUCAUUGAGAGAUAUAAAGAAAAAGACAUAUACAUAGAUAGAUUAUCUUUCCAUAAGGUUGAGCGAUCUGAUCUGACAAAUGUUAUAAGUGCUACACUCAUGAACUUUUCAUCCAUCAACUUUGUCUUGCUCACUAUGCUUAGGGUUAGAGAAGAACAAAUACACUUUAGGUUCUGUUGGUGUUUUCCACCAACAGGGCCCAUGCACUUGAUCUCUGCCUUGUCUCUAUGAGUAGGUACACUUUGAGCAAAACACGGAGGAGUUUUAUAACUCUCAGACUCUACCAAGUGAAGGACCUGGAUCUACGAGCACAAACACACUGAGCAGGAUACUGCCAACGCCGCACUUCGAACUGCUGGGCGAACGAAGAGGUGCAGACGUCAAGGUCCACACCUGAAUCAAAUGACGCACCUGAAGAAUGAACACGGUGAGAAGUCUUGUUAAGAAGACUUAAAACAUUGAACCCUCGCGGAAAGAUAAGAUCGGUAGUUAUCCAUAUUUAUCCUUUAUGCAUUCCCUUUUCCCUUCAAUUAUUUACUUUCCUUAAAUAGAUUAUUAGUUAAUCAUGCCAUCUUGAAAAGAAAAUAAAAAUGUUAAAAAAUACUAAGCCCCAUGUGAGUAUACGAGUGGCAUAAAACCCAUAAGUACCUUCACUGUGGUGGCAUAAAAAUAAAAUAAAUAUUUUUUUUCUGCUUUAUAAAAAAAAAAUACAAAAAUAGGGAGUAAUAUUUAUUGAGGAAGCUCAACAUGAUGAAGGCUAGAUAUUUAUGCUAACACUUAAUUAGUUCCACAAGCUUUGUUAUCUAUUUGAGCUCCACUGCCACCUGCUAGCUACAUCAAGAGAAAUUACGUCAAAAUUCAGCUUGGGGGAGAGCACCCUCAUUUAUCUCGCUAAGUAUUUCUACCUAUCUUUAUACUUAUAUUAUAUUCGAAUAUUAAAAUACAUAAACUAUGAAAAACCAAAUAAAGAUUUUGUGAUUAUAUAUCUUUUGCUUAGUGUGUUUAAUAAAUAAAUAAAGUGGCUAUGCUAAUCUGAAUCUUAAUAAUAAAACUCUAGCAUGGAUAUGAUGAAUAGUUGCUCUGCCCAAUUUGCAAAUUUGAAGUUCUCUCUCAAGUUUAGACAUAACUGUUAUAAUUUAAAGCUUGCUCUAGAUCUAAACUUGUGGGAUGAAAACUUGAUCUGAAAUCUAAGUUGUUAACGGAUAUGAUAUGGGAAGGCUGAGCUGCUGUUUAUCUAUUCCUAGAGAUGCUAGAAUUCUGGAGAAUUUUAUCUUUGAAAAAUCUUUAAAAUAUUGCAUGAUGAGUUCCUGUAUGAUGAGAGUUUAAAUUCCUACCACAGCCAUAUAUACAUGCUUGCUAGACUUUGAGCCACACAUUUAAUAUUUACUGCUUAUGAGCAUUGAGUGUGUUCAAGCUGUGUAGACCCUUAGGAGUUUGUCAUGUGGUUAAAUCAAGAUUUCACUUGCACAUUCACUCAUAUAUGCUACUUCUACUCCGGAAGUACCAUCCACAUAUAUCCAUCCAUGUCCAUCUCCAGAAUCACCCAAAAAUAUUCUACUCCUAAUCCGAGAGAGAAUGGCCAAAAAUAUUUCUGUUUUUUCCUUGUGAAAAAAUGCUCAAGUUAUCUUGUUACUACCACUUGCUAUAUUAUCUCAUGAGAUGAGUGCUCUAAAAAAAAUAGAAGGGAGAGAAAAAAUAUACGAGGAAAUAAAAAGGGACAAGUGCCCGGAACCUCGAAAGAAAAAAAACAGUGAGACAAGAGGUAAAAAUGGACAAGUGUCCGACAGUAGAAUUAGGGGUACAGGAUACCCACCUGAGAGGAAAGAAAAAUGAAAGAUAGAGCAUCUCAUUCUCCUCAUAAAGUUUUAAAAAGCAAGGAAGGUAUGUAUCCCCUUAAAAGAGCAAAAGUAGAAUUAGACUUCCACCAUUGUUAUCACCAUCAUCACCAUACACCAUUCAUUCGCCACACAUGCACAUCUUGAUUUGAGUUAUUGACUUGUUUCUCUGGAUCCAUGGUUUGACUAUGCAAUAAAUGUCUUGUAAGUAUGUAUUAGCUGUCUCCCACCUAUGAGCUCCAGAUAUUAAAGCCUUAUUAGAGUAGGGUGAGAGAGAAGGCAAUGUCACUAUGCCUUAUACCACAAAUACCAUAUAUCUUGAGAGAAGGCAUAUACCAUCACUGCCUUGGUAAGGAUCUAGAAAUACCACAAAAGAGAGAUUUAGAGAGUCAUACAUGGAAUCUCUGAGUUUUAUUUGAAAAUCUGCAAAAACUCCAGAGCUAUAGCUGAUCAAGAAUAAGAGACAUGGCACUUGGCUAGACUGUUCUAUCUUUUAACUAC